rnacentral:rRNA from 1 species
UAUUAUGGUGUCUUGUAAAUGUAUCUUAGCGUUUUCGGCGGUGGUUGAGGUUUUCGUCGGGUUGGGUGGGCCGGCAGGGUGUUCCGCAGGUCUAGGUCCCGGCUUGGUGUAUUAAGUGUCGUUGUUGUCUUUUAGGUGCUUGACUGCUUGGCUCGGCACUGGUUCUUCUUUUUGGGAGGCAUGCUGUUUGCGGCGCCGCGGCGGGUGGCUCUGUGCCGGCUACCAGUGGGGCGGCAGCGGGGCCGCCAGACGGCGUCCGCGACCGCGGCGACGCCCCCGGGGCGCGCACGACGAACGGGACCAACACGAGAUGCCGAAGUACAGGAAGGAUCAGAUGGCGCAGUAGGUGUACGCGGUGCAGCGGGGCGACCUGUCGCUGCGCAGCGGUCUGCUUAAGAGGCUCCCUGCGCACGACGUCGUGGAGGCGGCGGAGCAGCAACUAUAGGGACCGGCGGUCCUCCCCUCUGGCCCCAACCUCUGGCGGCGCGUCAUGUAGUUCCCCGUCGAGCUCCCCGAACGACGCGUACGACCCGGCCUCAUGUCCUAUCUACAACUUCUUUGUUAACAGUCACCGAGAAAGUCGUACUACAAAAACGCGGUGUCUCAUUGAGAUCCGAUGUCUUUAGUAUUUUUAUAACAAUACUCCUAAAGUAGUUUACAAAGUCUUCUCCUACUUGGUAGGGAAAACCACUUACCUGUAAAGCUGUCAGGUGAACCUAGUGGACCACGUCGUCUGACACCAAGGACACAACGUAGAUACGAACUUGAUAGUGCUGAAUACGAACUCAGACCCACCCAGGGAGGAGCCGGUCAGUAAAAGGAAAAGUUACCACGACUCCUUGAAAAAGAAGACCCAAGCGUACCAAAAUACUUCUGUGUAUUUACCUCGUCGUGUUAACCACGAAAGUAAUUAUAGCUUCGAAGACCUUCACCACCACGACUAAAUCAAACAGUCAGACCUGGCCCUAGAACCGGAAGAGCAUAAAUACGAGUCUGACGUUUCAUAGGUUACCGUUUAUCACAACGAGUCCUAUACAAACCUUAUUAAGGUCCACUAUGUCUAAUAUCCUAUAAACGACUUCUGCAUCGUUUUUAGGGUCCUGAACUAUAAUAGAAACAAGAACCACCAAUAAAAAUAGUAUGAAGAAUACUAUGUGACCUUUUGGACGAAGGACCUUCAUAAGUUCGCGCGCCACUUUUAAAUAAGUUGGAGCAUUUCCGAAAGUGUUUAAGAGGCUACGACGAUUUUCUCUCGCUCUCUAGGUUAUUUCGACAAUUACUCCCUUAGCUGCUAGACUCUCGAUAGAAGAAACUAAUGAACUGAACCAAGUACUAGAAAAUAGGUGCACUACACAGAGACUAAUAAGUGUCAGAAGGACAUCGAUAAAAGGAAGAAUGUGGUAACAAGGACUCGAAGGGUUUAUAAUGGUACUAUAGUAACAAAGUCUGACAAGACCUAAAUCGUUCUCCUUACAACGAAGUACGUAAACCACAGUAGGAACGUUAUCAGCAAGGACGAUACUGACGUCCGGAAUCUAACAACAAGUGUUUCUUACGUUACUUAACCAAACGAGUGGGAACAAACCGUAAAAAAUACAAACAGGGCCGUAGUAACCAGCCAAAUAACGACGGCUCCUAGUAUACCCCCGAUAGUCUCGUUAGUGUGAAAACCCCACGAAAACCAGAGAUAAGAGAUCAUUGAGACCGAAUGUACGAUCGACCCGACUCACCUCCAAAAGAUUGUAAAAAAUAAAGGUACAGGGAAGAAGAACCCGCUAAAUAGAGACCGUAGUCGUCCUUCGUCAACCCGGUUGUUAGUGGAUUCAGUAACAAACCUAUACACUAUGGUUACUAGGGCACAGAGGACAUAACAGAAAUGAUACCUCCCAAGGAAUAGGUCAAAAACUAACUUUUCUACCCUUACUACCCUAGAGAAGGUUUUGGUAUACCUGUAAAACAAGGACUAUAAUAACAACCUCGGUACCAACCUAACCAUCACCCAACCACAAAACCAGGUAAUCGUGGAUAACAAUCGACAACCAACCGGUUUCGUAGGUAAGACGUACCGAAAAACGUUUAAUGUCACCAACGAUACCGACAAAGUAGGGUUCAUAAAGGAAUGUCGUGGCCUCGUGGUUUUGCUCAACACGAAGUUGUGUGGAAACAGUGUCUACGAUCAUUGUAACACCUCAGUUUGAUACCAAAGAGACACCAACUACGAUUAAGCAACCUCAAACAAAAGUUGUUGCGUGGACUCCGUCGUUUUACCGAUUUUCUAUUGAGUCUCAAUAGGAAUUUUCUUUUUAUAGCUAGACUAUCUUCGUGCACCCACCGUAAUAUAGGACAGGGAAAGAACAAGAGACCUUCAAACUUCAAAGGACGUGUCUGACUUCUCUAAUCUUUCGUGGUGGUCGUAAAAGGGGUCGAUCAACAAGUCUUCUGUAGUUCAUUGUUAACCUUGGCUGCCUACGUAGAUGUCGAGAGUGAACCAAGUAAUAGUCUCCAAACCUGGUGAAGCGAGUUAUAAUGACCAGGUAAUAGCUUAACCAGAAAACGACUGUUGUGUGAAGGUCGAGGAGUUUGACAUUCGCCACCUGGUGGUAGUAUAUAGACAGCUGAAUGACCUGUUUCAUUACUCUUAACCAGAAAGACCAAUCUCCGUUUGAGAAGGCUUGGUGACUCUUAGCUACACCGACAUGAUCUGGUCAAAGAACAACUAUCGUGCUUUCUUGACUUCUCGGAGAAAGGUUCAACCCGUCUAUACUGUCAGAAGUGGUGUAAAAAGAGUUGAAUGAUAAACAUUUGAGAUAUAUUAACAAUUAGACACAUAAAUCCUCCCCCCUUAAUUUAUCCAUACGAUACAAAGCCCCCGUCCCACAUAAGAAGAGGGGUCAUCCACCACGACCAGAACUACAGUGGAAUAAACAUUAUAGCAGUAUUGUUAUUAAAUUAUAUAUCGCCAAAGUUUUUCCUUUUUGGACUUUGUUUUUAUUUGACCAUAUCGCCGGGGUUUAUAAGUGGCACAUUGUGCAUGAGGUAAGUAAAAUAUUCCACCUUUGUUAAAAAUCUCAGUUGAAACUGGUAGUUAAACUAGUUACUUUACACCCAAUAUACACAAUGUAAUGUAGUAAUUUAAGUAUAAGUCUUCUUC